rnacentral:rRNA from 1 species
UACGAAGGGGGCUAGCGUUGUUCGGAAUUACUGGGCGUAAAGCGCACGUAGGCGGCAUUGCAAGUCGGAUGUGAAAUCCCUCGGCUUAACCAAGGAAGUGCAUCCGAAACUGCAGUGCUUGAGUACUUAAGAGGAUCGCGGAAUUCCCGGUGUAGAGGUGAAAUUCGUAGAUAUCGGGAGGAACACCAGUGGCGAAGGCGGCGAUCUGGGAAGAUACUGACGCUGAGGUGCGAAAGCGUGGGGGAGCAAACGGG